rnacentral:lncRNA from 1 species
GAAUGAAGAAGGAAGUGUGGUCACAGAUAACUUGGAGGCUUCUGACGUGGGUCCUGAAUGGAAAGUGAUGUUAUAGAUUGCAAUAGAGAACAGAGAAGGAGUAGCUGGGAGGGAAAACUAUGAGUUUUGUUUUGCAUAUCCUCAGAUCUGAAGUCCAACAGGGCAUCCAAGAGUAAAGGUGGAGAUGAAAUAUAGGUCUGAGGUCAGGAGAGAUUCAGCUGGAGCUGUGACUGGAGAGUGUUGUUGAAGCCUGGAGCCUGAAGGCCAUCUCCCAGCAUGGAGAGGAGACGAAAGAGGGCUGAGGACCGAACCCUGGGAACGCCGUCCCCCAGCCGUCUGUCGGUGAACUCUGAGGCAGGAAUCAGGUCCACCACCCAAGGACACAGAACAGGCCCCAAGGCCUCAGAUUUCCCACUUCUAGAAGAGAUGGAACCCCUGCUGUUGCUGGAGAGUGAGCCUCAGAAGUGUAAUUGCCUGCCUUUCCUCUACUUCCCUGCUGGCAGAGGUGCUUUUGAUGGACAAAGUGCUUCAGACGCAGUAGGAAAAGAACAAGGGCUGUCCAGAAGAAUGUCAGUCUGAGAUAAAUCGCAUGUCAGGAAGAGAAAAUCCACUGUGUUAAGAACCAUGAAAUCUGUAGGCCCAGACAAAUUAUGUCCUAGGAUGUGGGUUGCAAACUUUUUAGUAGUAUAACUUUUUCAGACAAAUUUUAUAUGAACCCUAAUUUUAA